GUGCUGUUCACGAGGAGUUGCUGGCUCAGCAGGCCUCUUUGUCUCUGUGCUCAUGACAAGGACAUAUCACCUAACUCUGGGCUCUGGCUCACUUAGUAGCUUCUUUGCCGUUGGACUCUCACACCGAGAUGUCACCGAGCAGCAGCCUUUCCCAGGAAGUUGUUAAGGAGAUGGGAAUCCUCAUGCCUGCUGCUUUUUCCCAAAUCAGAGGAAGCCCGGGAGCCAGUUGCAGUAAAGUCUUGCCAGUAACGUUUCUCUUAAGAACGAGAAAGCUACUCAAAGAAAUGAUCUCUUCCUGGAUGUUGUGGUCCACGAAUAUUAUGUCUGGAACAUCAGAGCCAUCUUGUCUCCAUGAUGGGAGUUCCAUCUAAAGACAAAGUCAAAACCCAGCAGAGGACACAGCUGAAGGAACACGAGAAAGUGGCAUGGAAACGCUGAAGCCCCAGCACCGGCAGACCUCAGUUAUUGGGGCCAAUCAACCUCUUGUUACUGUUCAAGCGAGUUUGGAAACGUUGUCAGAGACCCACAACAGAAAACAACUCAAACAGCUCAUACCUAAAGACUCCUACAUGGCUUUGAUGACAUAAAGAGUUUGUAGAGUGAAGACAGAAAUGGUGAAUGAAUAAACAAUUUGGGCUUGAAUGUAAUGACCAAAAGAAGUCCAGGAGAGUUUCAGGGAACCAACUUGCAGCUACAUCCACAAUUCCUCAACACUGGAACAACAUGCUUAUGACCUUUCCUUUUCACAGCAACAGUGACGUGUUUGGUUUGUAACAGUUUCUGAACCACUGAAGUACUUUUCAACUUUCUCCCUUGGAAAAGCUGGCAUCUUGCCUGAAAUCCUUGGUGUGGUCUAGCAUUGCUUUUGUUUUAAUCACAUUCCAGUGAGAAACAGCCACUUAGCCAAAUUUACAUCAGCACUUCCUAUGGUAGCUAUUGGAAACAGCACGGGCAAAAAUGUUGCUAUCUACUGCAUUCAUUGGACUCUGGUAGCUUGUAACAAAUAAAUAGAUGUAUUUUGGCUCCUCUUCUCCA
rnacentral:lncRNA from 1 species